rnacentral:rRNA from 1 species
AAAAGCUCGAAAGGUGCGGAGUAUCGAAACAGAGAAUUAGAUACCCCUGGUAGUCCCGCACGGUAAACGAAUGGGAUGCCCCGCUGUUUGCGAUAUAGUGUGAGCGGCCAAGAGAAAAUCGUUAAGCAUCCCACCUGGGGAGUACGCCGGCAACGGUGAAACUCAAAGGAAUUGACGGGGGCCCCGCACAAGCGGAGGAAACAUGUGGUUUAAUUCGAUGAUACGCGAGGAACCUUACCCGGGCUUGAACUGCCAGCGAACGAUACAGAGAUGUUGAGGCCCUUCGGGGCGCUGGUGGAGGUGCUGCAUGGUUGUCGUCAGCUCGUGCCGUGAGGUGUCGGCUUAAGUGCCAUAACGAGCGCAACCCUUUUCGUCAGUUGCCAUCAGGUAAUGCUGGGCACUCUGGCGACACUGCCACCGUAAGGUGUGAGGAAGGUGGGGAUGACGUCAAAUCAGCACGGCCCUUACGUCCGGGGCUACACACGUGUUACAAUGGGGCAUACAGAAGGCCGGUCGCCCGCAAGAGCGAUCAAAUCUUAAAAGUGUCCCUCAGUUCGGAUUGGGGUCUGCAACCCGACCCCAUGAAGCUGGAUUCGCUAG